GUGCGAAGGUAGCGCAAUCACUUGUCCUUUAAAUGUGGACCGGUAUGAAUGGCAAGACGAGGGCUCGACUGUCUCCUUUUUCAGGUCAAUGAAAUUGAUCUCCCCGUGCAGAAGCGGGGAUACUACCAUAAGACGAGAAGACCCUAUGGAGCUUUAGACACCAAGACAGACCACGUUAAGCACCCUAAAAUAAAGAUCUAAACUAAGCGGACCCUGCCCGUAUGUCUUCGGUUGGGGCGACCAUGGGGGAAAACACAGCCCCCACGAGGAACGGGAAUACUAUUCCUAUAACCAAGAGCUUCCACUCUAAUGACCAGAACUUCUGACCUAGUAGAUCCGGCAAUGCCGAUCAGCGGACCAAGUUACCCUAGGGAUAACAGCGCAAUCCCCUUUAAGAGCCCAUAUCGACAAGGGGGUUUACGACCUCGAUGUUGGAUCAGGACAUCCUAAUGGUGCAACCGCUAUUAAGGGUU
rnacentral:rRNA from 1 species